rnacentral:rRNA from 1 species
AGAGAGAAUGCUGGAAUAAGUAGCGAGAGGAUGGUGAGAAUCCAUCCCGUCGAAAAUCUAAGGUUUCCCAGGGAAGGUUCGUCCGCCUGGGGUAAGUCGGGACCUAAGGAGAGGCCGAAAGGCGUAUCUGAUGGAUAGCAGGUUGAAAUUCCUGCACUACGAAUAUACUUAAAAGAUUCAAGGGACGCAGAAGUGGAAGAUAACCAAGUAAGAGGAAAAGCUUGGCUCGCAAGAGGGAGUGAAAAUUAAAAGUAACGAAGUAUCAAGAAGCACGCUGACGAGAAAAGCUUGAAGAUAUUGUAUAUAAGUACCCGUACCGCAAACCGACACAGGUAGAUGAGGAGAGGAUCCUAAGACGAGCGGGAGAAGCAUUGUUAAGGAACUCGGCAAAUUAACCCCGUAACUUCGGAAUAAGGGGUGCUGAUGUAACAGUCAGUCGCAGAGAAAAGGCCCAAGCAACUGUUUAACAAAAACAUAGGUUUCUGCUAAAUCGAAAGAUGAAGUAUAGGAGCUGACGCCUGCCCAGUGCUGGAAGGUUAAGGGGAAAGGUUAGAUUAUAUCAAAGCUUUGAACUGAAGCCCCAGUGAACGGCGGCCGUAACUAUAACGGUCCUAAGGUAGCGAAAUUCCUUGUCAGGUAAGUUCUGACCCGCACGAAAGGCGUAAUGAUUUGGGCACUGUCUCGACAAUGUCCCCGGCGAAAUUGUAGUACUAGUGAAGAUGCUAGUUACCUGCGAUAAGACAGAAAGACCCCAUGGAGCUUUACUGCAGUUUGAUACUGGGUUUCGAUGAUUUAUGUACAGGAUAGUUGGGAGACUAUGAAAGAGAGGCGUCAGCUUCUCCGGAGUCAUUGUUGGGAUACCAACCUUAAGUUAUUGAAAUUCUAACUUGUAAUCGUAAACCGGUUAGAGGACAAUGUCAGACGGGCAGUUUGACUGGGGCGGUCGCCUCCUAAAGAGUAACGGAGGCGCCCAAAGGUUUCCUCAGCGCGGACAGAAAUCGCGCGAAAGAGUGCAAAGGCAGAAGGAAGCUUAACUGAGAGACAGACAUGUCGACCAGAUACGAAAGUAGGGCUUAGUGAUCCGGUGGUUGUAAAUGGAAAUGCCAUCGCUCAACGGACAAAAGUUACCCUGGGGAUAACAGGCUUAUCUCCCCCAA